UACGAAGGGGUGCAAGCGUUACUCGGAAUUACUGGGCGUAAAGCGUGCGUAGGUGGUUCGUUAAGUCUGAUGUGAAAGCCCUGGGCUCAACCUGGGAAUGGCAUUGGAAACUGGCGACCUAGAGUGCGGUAGAGGGUAGUGGAAGUUCCCGGUGUAGCAGUGAAAUGCGUAGAGAUCGGGAGGAACAUCCGUGGCGAAGGCGACUACCUGGACCAGCACUGACACUGAGGCACGAAAGCGUGGGGAGCAAACAGGG
rnacentral:rRNA from 1 species